rnacentral:rRNA from 1 species
CAGGGCUUUCGUCUUGUAAUUGGAAUGAUGGUGAUGUACAACCUCACCAGAGUACCAAUUGGAGGGCAAGUCUGGUGCCAGCAGCCGCGGUAAUUCCAGCUCCAAUAGCGUAUAUUAAACUUGUUGCAGUUAAAAAGCUCGUAGUUGUAUUUCAGCCUCGCGUUUUUUCCCUCUUUUUGGGUCUUUUCGCUGGCUUUUUUUUUACUUUGAGAAAAUUAGAGUGUUUCAAGCAGACUUUUGUCUUGAAUACUUCAGCAUGGAAUAAUAGAGUAGGACCUUGGUUCUAUUUUGUUGGUUUUGAGCCUUGGUAAUGGUUAAUAGGAACGGUUGGGGGCAUUCGUAUUUAACUGUCAGAGGUGAAAUUCUUAGAUUUGUUAAAGACGAACCACUGCGAAAGCAUUUGCCAAGGACGUUUUCAUUAAUCAAGAAC